GCUGGAAUAGCUCAGUUGGUUA
rnacentral:siRNA from 1 species